rnacentral:rRNA from 1 species
UACGUAGGGUGCAAGCGUUGUCCGGAAUUAUUGGGCGUAAAGAGCUCGUAGGCGGUUUGUUGCGUCGGCUGUGAAAUCCCGAGGCUCAACCUCGGGUCUGCAGUCGAUACGAGCAAACUAGAGUGUUGCAGGGGAGACUGGAAUUCCUGGUGUAGCGGUGAAAUGCGCAGAUAUCAGGAAGAACACCUAUGGCGAAAGCAGCUCUCUGGGACGGUACUGACGCUGAGACGCGAAAGCGUGGGGAGCGAACAGG